rfam:Heterorhabditis bacteriophora unplaced genomic scaffold Scaffold917, whole genome shotgun sequence.
GUAGUUGGAUCUUAGUUACGUACUUUGAUUCGCCUUUGGCGUUAAUCAUUGUCGUGACUAUUUUGUUGGUUUUCUGUUGGUGGCUUCGGCUCCUUCAGUGGCUAGCGAGUUUACUUUGAAUAAAUUAGAGUGCUCAAAACAAGCGUUUGCUUGAAUGCUCGAUCAUGGAAUAAUAAAAGAGGACUUCGGUUCUAUUUGUUGGUUCAGGAACUGAAUUAAUGGUUAAGAGGGACAACUCGGGGGCAUUCGUAUCCCUGCGCGAGAGGUGAAAUUCGUGGACCGCAGGGGGACGCCCUAAAGCGAAAGCAUUUGCCAAGAAUGUCUUCAUUAAUCAAGAACGAAAGUCAGAGGUUCGAAGGCGAUUAGAUACCGCCCUAGUUCUGACCGUAAACUAUGCCAUCUAGCGAUCCAAUGGGGUAUUGUAGCCUUGUUGGGGAGCUUCCCGGAAACGAAAGUCUUUCGGUUCCUGGGGUAGUAUGGUUGCAAAGCUGAAACUUAAAGAAAUUGACGGAAGGGCACCACCUAGGAGUGGAGCCUGCGGCUUAAUUUGACUCAACACGGGAAAACUCACCCGGCCCGGACACCGUUAGGAUUGACAGAUUGAAAGCUCUUUCUCGAUUUGGUGGUUGGUGGUGCAUGGCCGUUCUUAGUUGGUGGAGCGAUUUGUCUGGUUUAUUCCGAUAACGAGCGAGACUCUAGCCUGCUAAAUAGUGUCCAGAUAUAUAAGUCUGGCUUACUUCUUAGAGGGAUAAGCGGUGUUUAGCCGCACGAGAUUGAGCGAUAACAGGUCUGUGAUGCCCUUAGAUGUUCGGGGCUGCACGCGCGCUACACUGGAAGAAUCAGCUAGGUCCUUCCAUUGCCGAAAGGUAUUGGUAAACCGUUGAAACUCUUCCGUGACCGGGAUAGGGAAUUGUAAUUAUUUCCCUUGAACGAGGAAUUCCUAGUAAGUGUGAGUCAUCAGCUCACGUUGAUUACGUCCCUGCCCUUUGUACACACCGCCCGUCGCUGUCCGGGACUGAGCUGUUUCGAGAAGAGUGGAGACUGCUGUAUUGGGGCUUUCGGGCUCUGGUAUGAUGGAAACCAUUUUAAUCGCAAUGGCUUGAACCGGGCAAAAGUCGUAACAAGGUAUCUGUAGGUG